rnacentral:tRNA from 2 species
GGGGGUAUAGCUCAGCUGGUAGAGCGCAUCGUUCGCAUCGAUGAGGCCAGGGGUUCGAAUCCCCUUACCUCCA